CCAACUUCCGGCCCUUUGGCUAAGAUCCAAGUGUAGUAUCUGUUCUUAUCAGUUUAAUAUCUGAUAUGUCCUCUAUCAGAGGGACACUUUAUAUUAAAUGGAUUUUGCCAAUGGGAGUUGAAAAGGGGCUUGCUCCAUUCACUCCCAUCCACCGAACCUCUAUUGCAGCGCAGCGAACGGUGUACACCUU